rnacentral:rRNA from 1 species
GUGGGGAAUCUUAGACAAUGGGGGAAACCCUGAUCUAGCCAUGCCGCGUGAGCGAUGAAGGCCUUAGGGUUGUAAAGCUCUUUCAGCUGGGAAGAUAAUGACUGUACCAGCAGAAGAAGCCCCGGCUAACUCCGUGCCAGCAGCCGCGGUAAUACGGAGGGGGCUAGCGUUGUUCGGAAUUACUGGGCGUAAAGCGCACGUAGGCGGACCGGAAAGUCAGGGGUGAAAUCCCAGGGCUCAACCUUGGAACUGCCUUUGAAACUCCUGGUCUUGAGGUCGAGAGAGGUGAGUGGAAUUCCGAGUGUAGAGGUGAAAUUCGUAGAUAUUCGGAGGAACACCAGUGGCGAAGGCGGCUCACUGACUCGAUACUGACGCUGAGGUGCGAAAGCGUGGGGAGCAAACAGGAUUAGAAACCCCGGUAGUCC